UACGAAGGGUGCAAGCGUUACUCGGAAUUACUGGACGUAAAGGGUGCGUAGGUGGUUGUUUAAGUCUGUUGUGAAAGCCCCGGGCUCAACCUGGGAAUGGCAAUGGAUACUGGACAGCUAGAGUGCGGUAGAGGGUAGUGGAAUUCCCGGUGUAGCAGUGAAAUGCGUAGAGAUCGGGAGGAACACCAGUGGCGAAGGCGGCUACCUGGACCAGCACUGACACUGAAGCACGAAAGCGUGGGGAGCAAACAGG
rnacentral:rRNA from 1 species